AACAAGGUUUCCGUAGGUGAACCUGCGGAAGGGAUCAUU
rnacentral:rRNA from 1 species